AGUGAACGCUGGCGGUAGGCCUAACACAUGCAAGUCGAACGGCAGCACAGUAAGAGCUUGCUCUUACGGGUGGCGAGUGGCGGACGGGUGAGGAAUACAUCGGAAUCUACUUUUUCGUGGGGGAUAACGUAGGGAAACUUACGCUAAUACCGCAUACGACCUACGGGUGAAAGCAGGGGAUCUUCGGACCUUGCGCGAUUGAAUGAGCCGAUGUCGGAUUAGCUAGUUGGCGGGGUAAAGGCCCACCAAGGCGACGAUCCGUAGCUGGUCUGAGAGGAUGAUCGGCCACACUGGAGCUGAGUCACGGUCCAGACUCCUACGGGAGGCAGCAGUGGGGAAUAUUAGACAAUGGGCGCAAGCCUGGUCCAGCCAUACCGAGUGGGUGAAGAAGGCCUUCGGGUUGUAAAGCCCUUUUGUUGGGAAAGAAAAGCAGCAGGUUAAUACCCCGCUGUUCUGACGGUACCCAAAGAAUAAGCACCGGCUAACUUCGUG
rnacentral:rRNA from 1 species